GAUGUGCAGACUCCAGGGCAGGAUACUCAUCCUAGAGGCACCAAGUGGGUCACUCCAGAUCUGGCCCAAAAUCUGACUUCUAUCAGAUAUUUGGUUAAUCUGACAAGGAAUUUUUCAAGGAAUUCGUCUGGGGAAGCAGAGAUGAAGCUCAAUACGUAGGAAGGUUCAUCCUUAUUUGUUUCAAAGAAAUGUUUUUUUUCGAAGUUUCAAUUUGGGAAAUCAAAGAGUCAUCAAGGCUGGAAGAGACCUUCAAGACAUCCAUUCCAACCAUGAACUCAACACCAACAUAAUCACCCCAAACCUGGAUCUCCAAAUGCCACAAAGGUCAGCCUCUCAAGGCAUCGUUAGGAGCUCCUCAAUUCCCACACAGCAUUCCUGCAGCGUGCAAAAGGGAGGCUGGAAAACGAGUGGCAGCUCCUAAGCCUCCCAAGAUUUGCUCCAAAGCCUGGAUUUGGGCAAGAUCAGCUUCCAAGGAAAAACCUGUGUGAGGAGGAGCUUAAAGGCACUUCCAUGCCUGCUACAAAAUCCCAGGAUGGUCUGGGUUGGGAGAAGUCUUGUAGAUCAUCCAGUUCCAACUCCCUGCCAUGGGCAGGGACACCUUCCAUUAUCCCAGGUUGCUCCAACCUGGCCUUGGACAUUUCCAGGGAUCCACAGGCAGCAGAUGAAAAUCACAGGAACUUCCUCCAGUCUGACCAGCUACAUACAUCUUUUUGAGGCCACUUUUCCCUUUCCCAAGGGCCCGUGAAAUUCAGUUUCAAUUCAAAGCCCAACUCAUUUUCUGCAGAUGGCAUCUGCAAGCUACAGAAAAAUCAGUGUUUCAGCCAUCCAUCAGUCAUUUCUAUAUCAUUCCUCCCUGCAGAUCUCUCUGCUGCUUCCUGUAGCCAGUCUCCAGUUUCCCCAUCUCACUGUUUUAAAGAUUUUUUUUUUUGUCUCCUUUUGCACUGUCCUAAAAAAGAACCUGAAACACUCUUCCUGUGCCAGGGAAGAGAGAAGCUGUUGAUCCCCCAAAAAAUGCCCAACACAGAUCAUUGCAAACCAAUAAAAACAACCAAAAGGUCUGUCCCCAGCCAGGUUUCUCUCUCCAGCAGGUCUAAACUGUUUGCCAGACUAA